GAGCUACUUGCUGUAGACAGUUUUCCAAGUAAGCUGUGCUCUCAUCCGAGGCGGAGCCUUCAUCAAUCAGCUGAGGGCUGUUGUCCCCUGGCCAGGCUGUAGCUACCACACAAGCAUCAGCCUUCAUCACCACCAAGUCUCUGUUGCUGUUGCCACUUUCUUAACCUCUGUCUCCAGGAGAUGAAGAACAGCUCCCGGCUCAUAUGAAGUGCUCAAUAAAUGUUAGCUGCU